GUGAGGAAUUUUCCGCAAUGGGCGAAAGCCUGACGGAGCAAUGCCGCGUGAAGGAUGAAGGCCUAUGGGUUGUAAACUUCUUUUCUUAGAGUAGAAUAUUGACGGUAUCUGAGGAAUAAGCAUCGGCUAACUCUGUGCCAGCAGCCGCGGUAAGACAGAGGAUGCAAGCGUUAUCCGGAAUGAUUGGGCGUAAAGCGUCUGUAGGUGGCUUCAAAAGUCUCCUGUCAAAGAUCAGGGCUUAACCCGGGGCCGGCAGGAGAAACUCUGAGGCUAGAGUUUGGUAGGGGCAGAGGGAAUUCCCGGUGGAGCGGUGAAAUGCGUAGAGAUCGGGAGGAACACCAAAGGCGAAAGCACUCUGCUGGGCCACAACUGACACUGAGAGACGAAAGCGAGGGGAGCAAAAGGGAUUAGAAACCCCGGUAGUCC
rnacentral:rRNA from 1 species